rnacentral:lncRNA from 10 species
UUCCUCCCUCCCUGCCUUCCCUUCCUUCCUGCCUUCCUUCUUCCUUCCUCCCUUUUUUCUUUUCUCCCUUCCUUCCUUCUUAAUAUGUUUUUGGCCUUUUCUUUAUAUAUGUGGCCUAGCAAUAUCCUGUGUUUGGAAAAGUAUAAACCUAAGGCAUCACCUUUACAGAAAAUAUCUUCCACGGAAACAUCUAAAGGCAAAAAUCCUUCAAAUUCAAAUUUAUCCAAUCAUUUCUUCUGCUUACUACCAUCCUAAAUCAUUUUUCUUUAGUAAGAUCUAUUAGUGUGAAGCUAUUAAGCUAUUAAUGUAUGUAUCAUAUUAAUGUAUUAAGACAUUAAGGCCACAGAUCAGCCCUGGGGUUCAGAGGGAUCCUGACAGCUACUCCUCAAGAUCCUCUCUGUUGUGAUUCAUCCCCCCGGGGCCCUACAGUUUCUCCUUCCUGACUCUUACAUUUCUUUGGAUGGCAUCAUUAUUUACCUGUCUCCUCCCAUAGUUAGGUGCCAAGCACUGUGGAUUCUGCCUCUCAGUGUCCAGACACCCAUUUUCCUUCCCACUGUUCCUUCCCCAUGGAGAAGCCUGUGGCUGGCUGACAGCAGAGAGAGAUGCUCAACUUGGAGAAGGUGUUACCUGGGCCAGGUGGGGAAGGUUUGUUUGCAGAGCAAAGAAGUGAAGGAAGUAUUAACCCUUUGCAUGGCCUCCUGAGAAUCCGACAAGACGUAAAUAGCCAAGAAUAUCUGUGAAACUUCAUCACUGAGUUACAAUAUUUAUCACUGCAAGUGUGUUGUUCAUUGACACUAUAAAGCCAUGUGGAAUUAAGCAGCCUUGAAACACAAAAUGGAGAAAGGCUAAGAGCUGAGAAUUGUUGCCUUCAGGGAAAUACAAUCAAUGUCAAGCAAACAACCACCCCAAAAUGGUUAGCUUUAUCAGCAUUCAGGCCUACAGUGAACGCAAAUGUUCCAGAUCUGAGUUUCAAUUUUUAAAGAAUAAACAUAUGCAAAUGACCAUUAGUCUUAGUAGUUUUAGGGCUCAGAAUGAUCUUAUCUUGUUAACAUUCAGGGCAACUGCUUAUACCCAUUUGAAUGUCAUUUAGAGGGCUAGGAAAGACUGCUUCAACAUUUGAUGACUAAAUGGCAGGGCUCAGCCACAAUGCUCACUCCGAGAAAUGAGAAAUAGACACACCAGUAUGCUAGAUGCUGAUGCAGUUCAGGAAAUGCUACCCCAAAAUAUGGCCCCUCAGCAUACUGAGUAUUUUAAGCAGAAGGCAAUUAAGAAAACCACAAAAACAGAAAGGUCCCUCUGACCUUCUCCCACCCUCUCUCUCUUGAAGAUCCUCAUGUGACAGGUGACCUGCCAUAUAAUCAGAAGGAAGAAAUGUUACACAGAGAGGCUGAGAAGAAUCUGAGGACUUGCUAAGUUUUCCCCAGUUUAUUACCAUUAGAUCAUAUGCCUUUUUUGUUCAAUCAUACUUCUAUACAACUGUCCAUCAUUCAUUAAACCUAACCACAAAAGUAGUUUUCACUCGGUUUUUGAGUGAAGGCUCCUGUGUCACAUAAAACUUACAUUAAAUAAAUUUGUU